UUGAUGGAUAAGAUGGCCCAUCUGGCAAGA
rnacentral:piRNA from 1 species